ACCUCCAAGGAGGUGCAUUGGCUGUGGAUUCUCACUUUGUGGGAUCCAUGGGAUAGUCCCAUGAUCCCAAGAGAGAGCAGUCAUGAGCCAGCCUGAAGAUACAUCAAGCAGAAUCCCAGGAUUGAACCACAAAAUCCCUAAGGAUACAAAAAAAUCUGCGGGGUUUCUCAGGUCUGCCUAGGCAUUGUAGAUGCACUUAACAUCUCUAGGAGGAACACCUGCAUCAUCUUGGGAUUUCAUCCUGUGACAAGGAGUGUCAGCAGCAAUAAGCCUCCAACAAGGAAACUCCUGUUCUCCCAAUUCUAUUGGAAGGCUGCAUGAUUCCUGUAGCAUGAGAAGAAGGCCGUCAUGUCUGGC